CGUAGGGUGCGAGCGUUAAUCGGAAUUACUGGGCGUAAGGCGUGCGCAGGCGGUUUGUAAGACAGAUGUGAAAUCCCCGGGCUCAACCUGGGACCUGCAUUUGUGACUGCAAGGCUAGAGUACGGUAGAGGGGGAUGGAAUUCCGCGUGUAGCAGUGAAAUGCGUAGAUAUGCGGAGGAACACCGAUGGCGAAGGCAAUCCCCUGGACCUGUACUGACGCUCAUGCACGAAAGCGUGGGGAGCAAACAGGAUUAGAUACCCUGGUAGUCCACGCCCUAAACGAUGUCAACUGGUUGUUGGGUCUUUACUGACUCAGUAACGAAGCUAACGCGUGAAGUUGACCGCCUGGGGAGUACGGCCGCAAGGUUG
rnacentral:rRNA from 1 species